CUCAGGACGAACGCUGGCGGCGUGCCUAAUACAUGCAAGUCGAGCGGACUUAUAAAAGCUUGCUUUUGUAAGUCAGCGGCGGACGGGUGAGUAACACGUGGGCAACCUGCCUAUAAGACUGGGAUAACUUCGGGAAACCGGAGCUAAUACCGGAUAAUAUAAGGAACCUCCUGGUUCUUUAUUGAAAGAUGGUUUCGGCUAUCACUUAUAGAUGGGCCCGCGGCGCAUUAGCUAGUUGGUGAGGUAACGGCUCACCAAGGCGACGAUGCGUAGCCGACCUGAGAGGGUGAUCGGCCACACUGGGACUGAGACACGGCCCAGACUCCUACGGGAGGCAGCAGUAGGGAAUCUUCCACAAUGGACGAAAGUCUGAUGGAGCAACGCCGCGUGAGCGAUGAAGGCCUUCGGGUCGUAAAGCUCUGUUGUUAGGGAAGAACAAGUGCGAGAGUAACUGCUCGCACC
rnacentral:rRNA from 1 species